rnacentral:snRNA from 1 species
AUACUUACCUGACGUAGAGAUUACCGUGAUCAAGGAGGCGGUUGCUCCAAAGUGAGGCUCUUUCCAUUGCACAACGGGCUGAGCUGACCUUUGUGAAUACUCCUAAUGUGGGUAUCUCGUACGUGAAUUUUUGGUAGUCGGGACUGCGUUCGCGCUCUCCCGU